rnacentral:lncRNA from 1 species
GAGGCUUGAGGUACUGCUUUUCCUUGAAAUGGGAACACAGGAGAAAUGCAACAGAUUUUUUUUUUGUAACAGGAGGUUAAAACCCAAACUUUACUGGCAAGAUUUAGGAGAUCAGAAAUUUGGAAGACUUAAGGCAAAACAUUCAACGAACCCUAAUCAUUUCACUGAGCGCAUAAACUUAGCAAAUUCUACCCUUCCAAUUUAAAAUUACCAUACUUCAAGGAGAAGAAACUAGGAAUGGAAGGAAUGGAAGGAAUGGAAGGAAUGGAAGGAAUGGAAGGAAUGGAAGGAAGGAAGUGGCGGAAGGAAGGAAGGAAGUGGCGGAAGGAAGUGGCGGAAGGAAGUGGCGGAAGGAAGUGGCGGAAGGAAGUGGCGGAAGGAAGUGGCGGAAGGAAGUGGCGGAAGGAAGUGGCGGAAGGAAGGAAGGAAGGAAGGAAGAGGCGGAAGGAAGUGGCGGAAGGAAGGGGCGGAAGGGGCGGAAGGGGCGGAAGGAAGGAAGGAAGGAAGGAAGGAAGGAAGCUUUUUCACCAUCAGUUUGGAGAAGACACAAAUAAUUACAACUUAGGCAAAGUUAGAACAAAACCAGAGUCUUCCCACCAAUGA